rnacentral:rRNA from 1 species
CUACGUGCCAGCAGCCGCGGUAAUACGUAGGUGGCAAGCGUUGUCCGGAAUUAUUGGGCGUAAAGCGCGCGCAGGCGGAUUGGUCAGUCUGUCUUAAAAGUUCGGGGCUCAACCCCGUGAUGGGAUGGAAACUACAGAUCUAGAGUAUCGGAGGGGAAAGUGGAAUUCCUAGUGUAGCGGUGAAAUGCGUAGAUAUUAGGAAGAACACCAGUGGCGAAGGCGACUUUCUGGACGAAAACUGACGCUGAGGCGCGAAAGCCAGGGGAGCGAACGGGAUUAGAUACCCCGGUAGUCCUGGCCGUAAACGAUGGGUACUAGGUGUAGGAGGUAUCGACCCCUUCUGUGCCGGAGUUAACGCAAUAAGUACCCCGCCUGGGGAGUACGACCGCAAGGUUGAAACUCAAAGGAAUUGACGGGGGCCCGCACAAGCGGUGGAGUAUGUGGUUUAAUUCGACGCAACGCGAAGAACCUUACCAGGUCUUGACAU